ensembl:lncRNA
UUAGUUUCAUGUGUAUAGGAAAAUGAUUAAGUUAUACGUAUAUAUAUUCUUUUUCUACAGCCUCUUCCAUUAUAGGCUAUUGAGAAAUCCUAUAACCCUACAGAAUAUUGAGAAAAUUUCCCUGUGCUCUACAGUAGGUCCUUGUUAGUUAUCUAUUUUUAUUUAUUUAUUUACUUAUUUAUUUAUUUUUGGCCAUGCCCAUGGCCCAUGCAAGUUCCUGGGCUUGGAGUCGAAUCCGAACUGCAGCUGGGGCCACAGCCACAGUAACACUGGCUCUGAAGCGCAUCUGCAAGCUGUGCCACACACAGCUUGUGGCAACACCAGAUACUUUUUUUGUUUUUUUGUCUUUCUGUCUUUUUCUAGGGCCGCAUGAGCAGCAUGCGGAGGUUCCCAGCUUAGGGGUCUAAUCAGAGCUGUAGCCACCAGCCUAUGCCACAGCCACAGCAAUGCAGGAUCCAAAUCUCGUCUUCCACCUACACCAAAGCUCACGGCAAUGCCAGAUCCUUAACCCACUGAGCAAGGCCAGGGAUCCUUAACUCACUGAGCAAGGUCAUGGUUCCUAGUCAGAUUCGUUAACCACUGAGUCAUUUAGGGAACUCCCCAGAUCCUUAACUCACUAAGUGAGGCUAGGGAUCGAACCAGCAUCCUCACAGACACUAUGUCAGGUCUUAACCUGCUGAGCCACAUCAGGAACUCCCUUAGUUAACUCUUCUAUAUAUAGUAGUGUGUAUAUUUUACUCCCAAUCUUCUCAUUCCCCUCCCCAUUCCCCUUUGGCAACCAUAAGUUUGCUUUCUAUGUCUCUGGGUCUAUUUCAGUUUUGUAAGUAAGUUACUUUGUAUCCUUUUUUAGAUUCCACAUAUAAACAACAUCAUAUAGUAUUUGUCUUUCUGUCUGAUUUACUUCACUUAGUAUGAUCCUCUCUAGGUCCAUCUGUGUUGCUGCAAAUGGCAUUAUUUCAUUCCUUUUUGAUGGCUGAAUAGUAUUCCAUUGCAUAUGUAUACCACAUCUUCUUUAUCCAUUCCUCUGUGGAUGGACUUUUCAUUUGCUUCCUUGUCUUGGCUAUUGUGAACACAAGAUUAUAAACUCAGUAAGGACAAGUCAGUGCCCAGCCGUAGAAACAAUGGUAGUGGCUCUGUUUAUCCAGUGCUCCCUUGAUAAGGAGACUCUUGCCAUGUGCCCUAUAAGUCAGGUUCUAGGAUUGCCUUUGCCAUCCGAAAAAAUCGAAAGCUCAAAGACUUAAAGCAACAUGUUCAGGUCCCAGAGCCGGAAACCAGGAUUUAUACUGACACUUCUCUGUCUCCAGAGCACAAAACCUUCACCCUCAGCACAGCAUGUGCUCAAUAAACACGAGCCUGGUGAGUGAUGGCAGGAGAGACAGAGACAAGGAGUAGGAGGAUUCCUUUCUGAGAAAAAAUCAUUUCUGGGGCCCUCUACAAUUAAGGAUGCAGUGAAGAGUGAUAUCCCUAUUGUUAGAACCAUAAAAAUAACCCAGUAACCACCUCCCAAAAUAGAAUAAUCAACAAUAUGACUGACAUGAAUAUCCAAAUGUCUCCUUAGGAUGUAAAAAAUAGCAGCAGCCCCUAAAUGUUCUGGUAACAACACUCCCCCAAGGCUUUAUUGCACUUUUUCUCACCUGACCUCCAACCCCACCAGCCUGGAAUUUCAGUAUGGGAGUUACGGCAAUCACAGUUCCAAAAAUGCUCUUUUUCAAACAUUUGGCCACUUCACUCACCCCCGCACAUCCCGCGGCACAGCAAUGACAACAGCCACUUCCUAGUCACUACACUGCCUUCACGAGGUCCAGACCCUCCCACACUGAUGUUCCCCUCCUUCUAGAUCCUUCUUCACACGCAGCUCCUUCCUGUUCCCUGCAGGAGCCCCGUUCCCUCCACCCCGUCACCACUUGUGUGCCGUCCUCCGCCGGAAAUACCUUCCACGGCCCCCCACCCCUUGUCAAUCUGGGAACUCCUACUCUUGCUAUAAGACUGUUCCCAAAUGUCAGCUCCCGCGUGGAAUCCUCUCCACCCCUCCGGGGAGAAAGGACGUCAUUCCAAGGUUUUGCACACCCAUCUCAUUUAGGUACCAGAAGUAAUUGGCCAAGGGCUGUCCUCCCCUCAAAAGACCAGGAAGACUUUCCAGAGCAAAGCACAAGGCUCUUAUUUCUCUCCAAAGCCCAUAUUGCAACCUGACAUCAUACAAUAUGUUUCUUCUAAGUGACUUAUUCAUUGCUAUUCUUCUACUCAAAUGUAUAUUCCCUGAAGGCAGGGAUUCUGUCGUGUUCAUUGGUUCAGGUCCAGGGCUUUAAACAGUACCUGAUACAUGGUAGGCACUCAAUGCAUACUUACUGAAUGAAUGGAUAGACGCACAGAUGGCUGAUGGAUGGAUGGAUGGAUGGAUGGAUGGAUGGAUGGAAAAUCAGCUGGGUAGAGAGAGGAAUGGAUUGAGGGUGAAUGGGUAGAGGAAUGGGUAGAUAAAGGCAGGACCAUAUUUCAC